rnacentral:rRNA from 1 species
GAUGAACGCUAGCGAUAGGCUUAACACAUGCAAGUCGAGGGGCAGCACAAGGUAGCUUGCUAUCUGGGUGGCGACCGGCGCACGGGUGCGUAACGCGUAUGCAACUUGCCCUAUACAGGAGGAUAACCCGUCGAAAGACGGACUAAUACUGCGUAUGCUCACAACUUGGCAUCAAGUGGUGAGGAAAGAAAUUCGGUAUAGGAUAGGCAUGCGUCCCAUUAGCUUGUUGGUGAGGUAACGGCUCACCAAGGCAACGAUGGGUAGGGGAACUGAGAGGUUUAUCCCCCACACUGGUACUGAGACACGGACCAGACUCCUACGGGAGGCAGCAGUGAGGAAGAUUGGUCAAUGGGCGCGAGCCUGAACCAGCCAAGUCGCGUGAAGGAUGACUGUCUUAUGGAUUGUAAACUUCUUUUAUACGGGAAUAACAAGAGUCACGUGUGACUCCCUGCAUGUACCGUAUGAAUAAGCAUCGGCUAACUCCGUG